rnacentral:rRNA from 1 species
UACAGAGGUCUCAAGCGUUGUUCGGAUUCAUUGGGCGGAAAGGGUGCGUAGGCGGCGCGGUAAGUCGGGUGUGAAAUCUUGGAGCUUAACUCCGAAACUGCAUUCGAUACUGCCGUGCUUGAGGACUGGAGAGGAGACUGGAAUUUACGGUGUAGCGGUGAAAUGCGUAGAUAUCGUAAGGAAGACCAGUGGCGAAGGCGGGUCUCUGGACAGUUCCUGACGCUGAGGCACGAAGGCCAGGGGAGCAAACGGG